rnacentral:lncRNA from 10 species
GCGCACCUCAACCUGGAAGGCAUUGCAGUGGGUGCAAGGCAGGACAAGCCCACGGAGCAAGCACUUCGGGUCGGCACUCACCUGCCCAGGAACUGAGAGAUACAAAAAAUUAGCCGGACGUCCUGGCGUGUGCCUGUAAUCCCAGCUACUCAGAAGGCUAAGGCAAGAGAAUCGCUUGAACCUGGGAGGCGGAGGUUGCAGUGAGCCAAGAUAGCGCCAUGGCACUCCAGCUUGGGCAAGAAGAGAAAAACUCCAUCUCCAAAAAAAAAAAAAAGAAAAGAAAAGAAAAAAAAAAGAUCUGCAUCCUUUGAGCUCACACCAAUGGAUGAGAAA